AAUAUUGGUCAAUGGGCGGGAGCCUGAACCAGCCAUGCCGCGUGCGGGACGAAGGCCCUAUGGGUCGUACACCGCUUUUACACGGGAACAACCGCAGCUCCGAGUAGCUGCCUGAGGGUACCGUGGGAAUACUGAAUGGCUAGCUCCGUGCCAGCAGCCGCGGUAAUACGGAGGAUCCAAGCGUUAUCCGGAUUUAUUGGGUUUAAAGGGUGCGUAGGCAGCCCGUUAAGUCAGGGAUGAAAGACGGCAGCUCAACUGUCGCAGUGCCUUUGAUACUGACGGGCUUGAAUGCGGAUGAGGUAGGCGGAAUGAGACAAGUAGCGGUGAAAUGCAUAGAUAUGUCUCAGAACUCCGAUUGCGAAGGCAGCUUACUAAGCCGUGAUUGACGCUGAUGCACGAAAGCGUGGGGAUCAAACAG
rnacentral:rRNA from 1 species